AGAGUCCUUUCUAUUCUCAGCUUAUUUACCUAUUUCUCAUGAAAAAAGUAAUGUGUCAGGCAGUGUCGAAGGUGAAGGAGUUUUGAAAUGUUCAUGCAACCAUGUGAUAAGUCUAGUCUAAGUCAGGUGGCUUUAGAAAGCCAGUGUUACAAGACUACGCAUAAUUACAAGAAUUACGCAAACUAAGAUGUUGCAUUAUCUAAAACACAUUGCUAAGCAAAAUAUAGAAUUUAGUUGUCAACACAUGCAUAAAGGACACAUUAUUUUUCCUUUUUCAGAGACACCUUCCAGGUCAGAAGAAAGUAGAAAGGAAACAUAAUACCAAGAGUGGUCCUGGAUGUGGCUGGAAAAAGUCAAGGAAAGAUGUUGCCAAACUGACCAUUGAUCUCUACAAAAACCACCCACAGGAUUUUAUUGGCUGCCUAAAUGUGCAGGCAACCUUGUAUGGAAUGUACUGUUUCAUAUGAUUUGCAGUGCUAUAAGGCAAAAAGAAUGCUAAGGGAAGCCUUAAAAUGGACUCUCUUCACUAUGCAGACUACUGGCUUACAGACUAAUGUUUUAGUAGGAACUUUAUGUUAUAUUCAGCAUCUUAUUGAUGAGGACGAGAAAACGGAGGACCAACUGAUAUCGCCUGCAUGUAUCAUCAAGCAGUUAGAACAUUAAAUGAUGGUGGUUCAUGGCUUGGGUAAACUUACAAGAGUGCACUGCUUGUAGAUUUAAUGCUUGAUAAAAAGCAUAUUUGUGAGUUAUUUACUUCUGUGCAAACAGUAAUAUGUACAGUUAAACUGUGCUUGUAAUUUUAUAUUUUUCUCCUGAUAUCUCCUGUAUUUCUACAUACAAGUUCUUAAUUAAACAUUUUAUGAGUUAAAAUUAGAGUUGUCAAAGUUAACGAUGUUAACACACACAGUAUAAAUAACUAAACAUGUUUUAUGUUAUUUCAUUUAAUUUGGCUUUAAAUUAUAAUUGCCAUCCUCUCAAAAUUGUUAACACAA